UACGUAAGGGGCAAGCGUUGUCCGGAUUUAUUGGGCGUAAAGAGCGUGUAGGCGGCCAGGUAGGUCCGUUGUGAAAACUCGAGGCUCAACCUCGAGACGCCGAUGGAAACCAUCUGGCUAGAGUCCGGAAGAGGAGAGUGGAAUUCCCGGUGUAGCGGUGAAAUGCGCAGAUAUCGGGAAGAACACCCGUGGCUAAGGCGGCUCUCUAGUACGGUACUGACGCUGAGACGCGAAAGCGUGGGGAGCGAACAGG
rnacentral:rRNA from 1 species